GAAUAUAAUUAGGACACAUUUGUUUUUUCUUUUUUCUUUUUCUUUUUCUUUCUGUCAUUCAUGUUUGUUUCAAUAGUGGGUCUCUGGAAUGUCUAGCUUCUGGUUCUAGUUUCCCCAGGCAGUGUCAAGUGUGGGGGACCUGUCAUGAUAUGAGUCUCAAUAUUGACCAGUCAAUAGUUGGUCACUCCCACAAUUUCUGUGCCACUUUUGUUCCAGCAUAUCUUGUGGGCAUGAGAAAUUGUAGGUCAAAUGUAUUGUAUUUGGGUUCAUACCUCAACUCCUCUAUUGGAUAUCUUGCCUAGUUAAAGGAGAUGGCCAGUUCAUAUUCCAUAUCCCUGAUUUCUAAGAAUCUUACCUAAAUAACCUUCACUGAAUUCUGGGUGUUCACAUUGCCCAGUUUUCUAGCUCUUCCAAGAAAUGGUACCCAGACACCUAAACCCUCUGUGUCCAUCUUUCCCACUGAUUCCUCUUGUGUACAUCUCUACUCCCCAAAUUAAGGUUAUACCCACACCUAUUUCCCCAUAUAUCUAUUGUGUUUCCUCUUCUAAGUGAGAUUUACAUGUCUCCUAUUUGGGCUCUACUUCUUACUUGGCUUCUAUGGGUUUGUGGAUAAUAGCAUGGUUAUUCUUAACUUUGCUGAUAAUAGCCGCUUAUAUGUGAAUAAAUACAAUUCUUGACUUUCUAAGCUAGGUUACCUCACAGGAUUAUAUUUUUUAGUUCCAUCAAUUUGCUGGCAAAUUUCAUGUUGCUAUUGAUUUAAAAGUUGAAUAAUGUUCCCUUGGGUAAAAGAAACACAUUUAGUUUAUCCAUUCCUUAGUUGACAUACAGUUCAGCUGUUUUCAGUUUCUGCUAUUGUAUACAAACUUAUUAUGAAUAUAGGUGGACAGGUGUCCUGUGGUAUGAUAGAAGGUCCUAUGCAUUAUGCCCAGGAGUAGUAUAUAUGGAUAUUGGGCUUGGUAGAAUACCAAAUUUCAAAGAAAUUGCUACACAUAUUGCUGAAGUGGUUGUACUUAUUUGUACUCUCACCAACAAAAAGGAGACAACAAUUUUUAAAAGUAUUUUAUUUUAUUUUUUCACUAUACAUUCCAUUCAAUGGCUCACCCUCCAGGCCACCUUCUCCCAUCAUCCAUCCCACCAACCCUCCUCCCAUCUCCUAUGAUUGGGCGGCCCCAGGUAUCCCCUAAUCCAGGCACAUCAAGUCUCCAUGGAGCUAGGUGCAUCCUCUCCUUUUUUGAAACCAGACAAGGUAGCCCAGCAAGAAGACCCAUGGACAGGCAACAGUUUUUAGGAUAAGCCCCCUCCCCAGUUUUCCAAGUCCCCCAUGAAGCCCAAGCUGCACAUAUCCUGCAUAUGCCUGGGGAGGCUUACAUUCAGCCUGUGUAUUCUCUUUGCUUGAUGGUUCACUAUUGGAGAGCUCAAAGGGUCCCAGUUAAUUGACUCUGUUGGUCUUUCUGUAUAGUUCCUGAUGUUUUCAUGGCCCGCAAUCCUUACCCUUACUAUUACAUAAGAUUCCACAAACUCCUUCUGCUCUUUGGCAUUGGGUGUCUGAGUCUGUCUGAGUCAGCUACUGUGUGGAUCCUCUCUGAGGACAGAUAUCCACGAGUCCUGUCUGCAAACAUAAAGAGUAUUAAUAGUAUCAGGGAAUGGAACAUGCACAUGAGAAGGGUCUCAAAUUGGUCUGGCUAUUGUUUGGUUAUUUCCUCCGUAAGAGAACAUAAAUUUAGUGUGAUUGAGCUGGUACAAAUCAAUGAAACAAGCAAGCAAGCAAACAAACAAACAAACAAGCUAACUAUGAGACUUUUAAAGUUGUUUACAUUUUUAAUAUGAAAUUUCUUUUUAGGAUUGAAUAAAAGGAGCAGUGUGUCAGCUUAACAGGUGAAAUGGCUAAUUUUAUACCAACCUCUCACCAUACUAUGACUAUCUGAAAGGAAGGAAUUUUACUUGAGAAAAUGCCUCUGAAAUAUCCAUCUGUACAUCACUUUUUUGACUCGUGAUUAAUGGGAGAGUGCCAGUAUAUUGAGGGUUGUUCAGUCCCAGGUCAGUUUGUUUUAGGUCUGUAGGAAAUCAGAUAGCACAAGCCAAGGGAUGCACACCACUAAGGUCAUUCGUCCAUGCUUCUUCAUUUUCUCCUGACUCCAGGAUCCAAAACUUUUUGAUACCCUGUCUUGACUUCCCUUGAUGAUGUACAGUGAGUGUAAAUCUAAGGCAACUAAUUUUUCUUACCAGACUUGGAGUUUUUGGUCAUGAAGUUUCAUUGAAACAAUGCAAACCACAACUGAGGUAUCACUGAUGGUUCAAAAUGAGAGUGCUUCAGAUGUUCGGCCUAUAAAACCGAUUUGACUCAGGAACUUUUGCUGCACCAUCCAUUCUAAAGAGCCAAAUGGAUUUUCUUCUUAAAUGGCAGGAUUGUGUGUGAACUGAAUGAACUGUGUCCUAAGAGGGCUUCACAUCUUCCCUUAUAGGUCAAUUACCUCCUCACUCAAACUUCCAAGUUCUUCCAAAGCCAUUCUGUAUAAACAACACACUGACGUCAGAAGUUCCAGUAAGAUAGUGCUAUCAUGUCAAAUUGUCACAUUGAUAAAACACCAAAAUAAAGCAAAGAUUCUCUUUGUUUUGAAAAA